rnacentral:tRNA from 3 species
GCCUCGGUGGCGGAAUUGGCAUACGCAGCAGGUUGAGGGCCUGUGUCCUUAUGGACGUGAGAGUUCGAGUCUCUCCCGAGGCA